GACGGAGGAUGCAAGUGUUAUCCGGAAUCACUGGGCGUAAAGCGUCUGUAGGUGGUCAAAUAAGUCAACUGUUAAAUCUUGAGGCUCAACCUCAAAAUCGCAGUCGAAACUAUUCGACUAGAGUAUAGUAGGGGUAAAGGGAAUUUCCAGUGGAGCGGUGAAAUGCGUAGAGAUUGGAAAGAACACCGAUGGCGAAGGCACUUUACUGGGCUAUUACUAACACUGAGAGAUGAAAGCUAGGGUAGCAAAUGGG
rnacentral:rRNA from 1 species